CCCCAAUAUCUUGCCAGCAAUCCCUAAUAGCCCUUGUUACAGCCUGCACUUUUUUCCAAAUACUUUCUACCUUUUUUUUUUUUUUUUUUUUUUUGAGACAAGAGUCUCUCUGUCGCUCAGGCUGGAGUGCAGUGGCACGAUCUUGGCUCACUGCAAGCUCCGCCUCCCAGGUUCACGCCAUUCUCCUGCCUCAGCCUCCUGAGUAGCUGGGACUAUAGGUGCCCGCCACCACGCCCGGCUAAUUUUUUGCAUUUUUUCAGUAGAGACGGGGUUUCACCGUGUUAGCCAGGAUGGUCUCGAUCUCCCGACCUCGUGAUUCGCCCAUCUUGGCCUCCUGAAGUGCUGGGGAUUACAGGCGUUGAGCCACAGCACCCGGCCCUUCUACCCUCUUAUAUACCUGUUGUCUCUUCCCCCACUAGAAGAAUUCUCCCCAGUGACCCAGGACCAGGCGGCUGCCGGGGGGCCGAGAGCCUUCACUAAAUGUGACACAUCAGUGACUACAGCCCUGAAAUUCAAAUUGGAAGCCCAGGCUUGUGCUCAUGUCCAGCAAAUCCAACAGGUCACUUCAUCCUGGCCCAGGUACAGCAGCUCCAAAUCGUGGGGAUUCUGUAAGAGCUUGCUACCUGUUGACUGAGGAGGCCCACAAGUCGAGGAGAACUAUCAAGAGUGGUACAAAACUGCAGGUCAUUGGGCUGGCCACCAGGUAUUCCCACCCACCAGAAGCUGGCUGUUGUACUCACCCGGAACCAUGGUGCACCACCACAGCAGCGAGGUCAUACAGGCAGCUCUCCGGGCCACUGUUCUCAGGCUACAGAACAAGGAAGAAGGAGCAGUGGUCAAUGACAUCGGUAUCUCAAUGACCUCUACCCUCUCCAUGUGAUGACAAUCUUACUGAAGAGCCAUUUUUUCACCACGCUAAAAAGGGAAGAGGAGCACAGCAGUAAUGCUGAUGGGAAGAAGGUGCUGACAGAUGGACUCACUGGGGUCACAGCAACAAUCGACAGUGCAAGUGGCAAACAUUGUGUAAAAUACUCCAAAUCCAAGACACACAUUUAUAAAAGUCUGUAACAGGUCAAAGAAUAAACUCCAGCUGCCCUCAACACCUAGAGCAUGGAAACCUCCCUGACUGCUUCAUCAGGCCCACUGGGGCCCACAUGUAUUUGAAGUUAACCGAGGAGCUCUACUUCCUUGGAAAUCCCCCUUGCUCCUCCGGCAGAGGUGGGCUGGACACUGCUCCUGGCAAAGCUGGCCGGGAAGAUGCAGCCCGUGGGACACUCCCCACCACCACUCUCACUGUCUGACCGACUGCGAAGCUUCACAGACCAGAAGGCUCAUUCUUCACAACAAAAGGAAAACCCUGGUCUGACACGACUGUUCUGAAAUUUAACAGCCAAUUGGGUCCAGCAGCUUUGCCUCUUUACCCUUUCAUCACCAAAGUAUACUACUGAGAAAGAAUCAAAUGAAACAAAAAAAGACUCAACAAGACCUCACUCGUAUUAACUGGACUCUACAAGCAGUGAGCAUCCGGACCUGCAUUCGGUUACAAAAGAAGCCUUCAAGCUAUUUUCAUCACCUUCCUAAUCAAGUUAAAAAAUAAACCACAAAACUGAGU